GGUGCUGUAGACUAAUUGGUUAGGUCGGUUCCACGCAAUGGAGAUGAUGCGGGUUCGAAAGCCGCCGGUGUCC